CUGCACGGGUCCACGGCACGGGUCGCCUGUCUCUAUAUCCGUAUCAUUGGCCGCUGCUCUAAUCUCGUUUUAACGGCCAAUCAGGUGCGCAGAAUCUAUUCCCCCAUUAUAUACCCUGUCAUGCUGUUGACCCCAAUCACGUAACCUGUGGACCAAAAUAAUUCAAUACGAUUUUAAUUUCGUCGCAACGAGUCCGCGCGGGUCGCAAGACAUCC
rnacentral:lncRNA from 7 species